rnacentral:rRNA from 1 species
GACGAACGCGGGCGGCGUGCUUAACACAUGCAAGUCGAACGGAAAGGCCCCCUUGUGGGGUACUCGAGUGGCGAACGGGUGAGUAACACGUGAGUAACCUACCCUUGACUUUGGGAUAACUUCAGGAAACUGGGGCUAAUACCGGAUAGGAGCUCCUGCUGCAUGGUGGGGGUUGGAAAGUUUCGGCGGUUGGGGAUGGACUCGCGGCUUAUCAGCUUGUUGGUGGGGUAGUGGCUCACCAAGGCUUUGACGGGUAGCCGGCCUGAGAGGGUGACCGGCCACAUUGGGACUGAGAUACGGCCCAGACUCCUACGGGAGGCAGCAGUGGGGAAUAUUGCACAAUGGGCGGAAGCCUGAUGCAGCAACGCCGCGUGCGGGAUGACGGCCUUCGGGUUGUAAACCGCUUUCGCCUGUGACGAAGCGUGAGUGACGGUAAUGGGUAAAGAAGCACCGGCUAACUACGUG